GGCUUCUAAAAUUAGGGGUUUUUUGGUCAUAACCUAGAUGACCAAAGAAAUUAGGGUUUUUUUUGUUGAAAUACUAGAUGGUCACAACCUUACAAUAUCAAGUUCAAACCACAAAGAAAUUAAAGAAAAAACCAUCUGAACAAAUUUCUAAUUCCAAAGUUGUGAAUAAGUCGAUUAGAACCACAGCUCUUCCAAGUAAAAUUAUUUUUAAACAGUACCUUCUCAUAAUCGCAACACUGGAUUCAACGAAGAUUGGGUGCUGGUUUGAAAACGAAGACACGAAAAGGGAAAUAAGAUUUGAGAAAGAGAAAAAGGGAAAGUGAAAGGAGAAUGGGAUUUGAGAAAGAGGGAAGACAAGAGAGAUUUGAGAAAGGGGAAAAUUUUGCAUGAAAGAGAAAGGGGUGGGGAAUGGAGAAAAU
rnacentral:lncRNA from 1 species